UACAGAGGGUGCUAGCGUUAUUCGGAAUUAUUGGGCGUAAAGGGCGCGUAGGCGGCCAUGCGUGUCUUCCGUGAAAUCCCUCGGCUUAACUGAGGACGUGCGGAAGAAACUGCAAGGCUCGAGUCCGGGAGAGGGGGGUGGAAUUCCCAGUGUAGCGGUGAAAUGCGUAGAUAUUGGGAGGAACACCGGUGGCGAAGGCGGCCCCCUGGACCGGUACUGACGCUGAUGCGCGAAAGCGUGGGUAGCAAACGGG
rnacentral:rRNA from 1 species